rnacentral:rRNA from 1 species
CCUACGGGAGGCAGCAGUGGGGGAUAUUGCACAAUGGGGGAAACCCUGAUGCAGCGACGCCGCGUGGGUGAAGAAGCGCCUCGGCGCGUAAAGCCCUGUCAGCAGGGUAGAAAAUGACGGUACCUGAAGAAGAAGCCCCGGCUAACUACGUGCCAGCAGCCGCGGUAAUACGUAGGGGGCAAGCGAUAUCCGGAUUUACUGGGUGUAAAGGGGGCGCAGACGGCGAUGCAAGCCAGGAGUGAAAGCCCGGGGCCCAACCCCGGGACUGCUCUUGGAACUGCGUGGCUAGAGUGCAGGAGGGGCUGGCGGAAUUCCUGGUGUAGCGGUGAAAUGCGUAGAUAUCAGGAGGAACACCGGUGGCGAAGGCGGCCUGCUGGACUGCAACUGACGUUGAGGCCCGAAAGCGUGGGGAGCAAACAGGAUUAGAUACCCUAGUAGUC